GGCACAGGAAGGUCAGUCGGGCCGUCACGUGAACGCACCAGCGUCUGGUUCCGGACUUGUUUUCUUUUUUUCCAACGUGUUUUCUAGGCCGUGCGCACGGCCGCCUCUUGUUUGGUUUGUUUGGGGAAAUGUAAAAAAAUAAAAGGAAGUAAAAUGGAUUUUGUCGCAACCUUCAAUUGUCUACACAAUUCCUAACAUCUUUCUGUUUUGGCUGUUCUGUUUUUGUUUUUCAAAUCUCUCCUGACCCUUCCCUCUAAUCGAUGAAUCAAAUACGACAGCCAAACACAACGUCAAGCGAAAAAAGAAACAGACGACACAAUAACAUUUCGCUCGUUGGCCAUUUCCAGGAAAGAAAACAAAUCGAUAACACGAAGGCUAGUCUAGUACGAACGUUGCCGCCAUUGUGAAAUCAAAAACAACAUUCCCGAAACAACAACAACAAAAUCAAAGAAAUGGCAAGAUGAAGGUAAAAUGGCUGUCUGCUAACACGGCGCAGCAAAACAGUCGUCGACUUAGAUAUUUUCAUACGUCAGUCAAGAGGAGAGGUGGCAAAGUAAAUUGAAUCAUUGCACAGUGACACGAACGUCUGCGAAAUCCCGGCUCGUCAAGAGCUCUUGACGAGAAUCUCAUGCCCGAGAUUUCUGCGAAUUGCGCGCGAAAAAACGGAGGCAAAAACACGUUCGCAUUUCAAAUAAAAACAUACGCACACACACAAAAAAAUGGGAGGAUUGCAGACACAUCCAUCCGACGUGAGAAAAAAAAAAACAACAAACUUUUGGAAGCUUUCCAAAGUGGGGAAUGAGCGUCUGAUUCAAUCUUACUACUUUACAAUUUACACCAUACUAUGCUAAGGUGGUGUGUAUCAACGCAAAGCAAAUCUUGAUGAAGGAAGAAGCGGAAGAACAAGAGAAAAAUAAAAAAAAUAAAAGGAAGUUCAGUUGCAUCUUUGAAUGUGAAAACAGCGCGGCAAACAAAAAAUCGCCUAUGACGACAGAAGUGGCAGAAGUAAGCGGAAGUAUGCGCCAGAUCGAUUCCAGCGGGAGGAUAGAAUUAAAAAAAUCCAGUAAAUAGAGAUGCUACUCCGUGCAUUCUUUUUCCCUAUUAUUGAAGGUAUUCAAGAGAAAGGAAAACAAAAAAUGCGGAUCGAUCCAGUAAGCAAACGGAAAUAUCGCCCCUCCCCCCUCAUUUUUAUUCCCAUUUUGUUUUUGUUUAUAUACAGAUUUUUUUUUUUUUUUUCCCCGGUCACGUUGCUGGAUGCACUCGGCUCGGUACAACUGAACUUGGAUGGGGGAAACAUCCUGCGCUUAGACGUCGUACAAGUCCGAAUUGUAGGGCGCAAGUGCGCACAAUGUUCCGGCGCAUCAGCGCCAUCGUCUCGUACGGAAACACACAGACAACAGACGCAUGGAGAUAGAGAGACACACACAAACUAUGGGGAUACGAUAUACCUAGCCCCUCCAUGUCUUUACGAUGCGGUAAGAGAGAGAGAGAGAGCGCAAAAAAAAGGGGGGGUGGGGGGCGAUCAAUAUCUCAUUCUAGUAAGAACUGAACCCUCUCUCCUUUGGCCUCGACGCUUCGGAGAAACUAACGCAAAACGUCAAGGAUUUCGCAAAUCUUUUCUACAUAAUGUACUGGUAUGUUUUUAAGCAAACAGCUUCCUUCCGUGCUUCAUCCUAAUUUUGGCAAUCGAUAGUUAAUUUUAAAAAUAUAUAUAUAUAUAUUAAAGAGCUUAGCACAUGGCGGUGAUGGCUGCGGACAGAGGGAAAGAUAAACAAAAGAAAUAGAGCAAUUCAACUUCAUCAGCAAUCUACUUGUUUCCCCCACUAGAACGCAAUGGUACUGCCAUGACCUCCACCCUGCGUAGCGCUGCAGAAAUGACGGCACUUGAUUCGACGCAAUCCAAUAACACGCUCUGUCGCCACCAGACGAUUGACGGUCCCUUUCAAUCAUAGACCAGCACACAAACAUCCCCCCAAAAAAUAUAGACAAGAAUAAAAAAAAAAAAAAAAAUGACAUAAAUUAGCGGAAUUUCGUCUGUUACAUAACCAAAAAAUUUCGAAACCACUGGCAAUUAAUAAUUCCCAAUUUCCUUAAUCAAAGUAAUUAUUCCCUUCAGUUUUCGUAAAGGGACAUAAAACACACAUCUUUGAUCGCCGAAACGAUUCCUGUUUACUAAUAGAAAAUCAUUCCACUGGUAAUCGCGUUAUCUACGUGACAACGAGUGGCAGGCUACCAAAAAAAAAGAGCUUACAAACAGAGUGUGUGUGUGUGUGUGUGUAUGUUUGGAAGGGAGGAAACGUUGCAAGAGCUCCGGAAGCGAUACGAGAUGUCAUUCUUAGAGGGGGGUUUCUCCUUUUUGUAGACUACAAUGUGCGCUUGGAAAUUGAACAGAGUGAUGGGAAAGAAAGAAGCACUACAGUAGUAAUAGUAGUAGUAGUAGUAGCGGUGGGGUUGGUCGUAUCUGUCAUGGAUGUCAACUGGCACGACGCUGCGGCAUUUUGCCGGAUGACAAUAAAAAGAAGCAAAAGAUAUAAGUGGCCGGGCUGAGAGGAUAGAAAGCGACUGUGUUGGAUUCAUCUGCCAUCGGUCCGUGUUUUGUCAAAGAGACAGGGACCACUUUGAUAAAUCAACCGACAUCCGUAAGUGGACCCGCACCGCAUGGAGCAAAACCCUAACGUAAUCCGGAAAUCAUUCUCUUUGCCCAUCCUCAUUGAAUUUCUCGUUUUUAUUUGACCUUCUACACCCCCAAACGUUUCAGAAUAAUUGGGUAAACUUCGAAAAAUAAAAAAUACAAAUUCAAAAAGAAAAUGGCGGAAAUCCUCACAUUUACAAUUCCCCUCCAAAAAAGGGAAAAAGAAUAGAUACUCAUCAGUUCUCGAUGAUCAAGCGCAGCUGAAUAGACGUCAACGACAUUAACACGAAACUCCGAGAUAAUGUUAGAUAACUUUUUCUCUCAACACCGGUAGAUUAUUCACGUUACAUAACAUUAUUACGGCUUUAUUAUGCGACCCGUUGCCAGGCCAAGGGACAAGGAAAGUCAAUGAGAAUUUUAAACAAGUUUUAAAAGAAGACGAGACUGCAUAAUGGGCCUCUUCAAUCAAUGUUCAAAUUUUGUGUGCGUGUUUCUA
rnacentral:lncRNA from 1 species